AAAUCUCUCCCCCCUUUAUCUUGGCUUGGAUCCACCCCUGUCUGUGAUAAUAUUAUUAUUGUAGUAUAAAAUUAUAAUUAAAUUCUGAGGAAAGUAUUUCUGGUUUCAGUCCGCGCACUAUAUAAAAGAAACUUUUUGGUCAAUUUAAAAGUAUAGUCAAAUAAUCUGGACUUUAGACAAAGUUUUUGGAUUUAAUAAUGCCAUUUAAAACCAUCGCCAAGUUUCGUUACCACAAAUUAAAUUUCCCAUCUUUCUUUUACUCUAUAUGUGUGCCAGUAUUAC